UACAGAGGGUGCAAGCGUUAAUCGGAAUUACUGGGCGUAAAGCGUGCGCAGACGGUUGCGUAAGUCAGAUGUGAAAAGCCCCGGGCUCAACCUGGGAAUUGCCUUCGAUACUGCGGGUCUCGAGUCCGGGAGAGGUGAGUGGAAUUCCUAGUGUAGAGGUGAAAUUCGUAGAUAUUAGGAAGAACACCAGUGGCGAAGGCGGCUCACUGGCCCGGUACUGACGCUGAGGCGCGAAAGCGUGGGGAGCAAACAGGG
rnacentral:rRNA from 1 species